GGAUUAGAUACCCUGGUAGUCCACGCUGUAAACGAUGGAUGCUAGCCGUCAGCAAGCAUGCUUGUUGGUGGCGCAGCUAACGCAUUAAGCAUCCCGCCUGGGGAGUACGGCCGCAAGGUUAAAACUCAAAGGAAUUGACGGGGGCCCGCACAAGCGGUGGAGCAUGUGGUUUAAUUCGACGCAACGCGAAGAACCUUACCAGCCCUUGACAUGCCCGGACGGUUUCCAGAGAUGGAUUCCUCCUAGCAAUAGGUCGGGACACAGGUGCUGCAUGGCUGUCGUCAGCUCGUGCCG
rnacentral:rRNA from 1 species